rnacentral:rRNA from 1 species
AUACGUAGGUGGCGAGCGUUAUGCGGAUUUACUGGGUGUAAAGGGUGUGUAGGCGGAUCUGCAAGUCAGAUGUGAAAACUAUCGGCUUAACUGAUAGCGUGCAUUUGAAACUGCAGACCUUGAUAGUCGGAGAGGUAAGGGGAAUUCCCAGUGUAGCGGUGAAAUGGGUAGAUAUUAGGAGGAAUACAAGUGGCGAAGACGCUCCUCUGGACUUUAAAUGACGCUGAGGAACGAAAGGGUGGGGAGCAAACAGGAUUAGAUCCCCUGUGAGUCCACGCCGUAAACGAUGAGUGCUAGGUGUCGAGGGUCAAACCUCGGUGCCGCAGUUAACACAUUAAGCACUCCGCCUGGGGAGUACGGUGGCAACACUGAAACUCAAAGGAAUUGCCGGGG